rnacentral:rRNA from 1 species
UGGGGAAUAUUGGACAAUGGGGGGAACCCUGAUCCAGCCAUGCCGCGUGUGUGAAGAAGGCCUUAUGGUUGUAAAGCACUUUAAGCGAGGAGGAGGCUACUAGUAUUAAUACUACUGGAUAGUGGACGUUACUCGCAGAAUAAGCACCGGCUAACUCUGUGCCAGCAGCCGCGGUAAUACAGAGGGUGCGAGCGUUAAUCGGAUUUACUGGGCGUAAAGCGUGCGUAGGCGGCCAUUUAAGUCAAAUGUGAAUCCCGAGCUUAACUUGGGAAUUGCAUUCGAUACUGGAUGGCUAGAGUAUGGGAGAGGAUGGUAGAAUUCCAGGUGUAGCGGUGAAAUGCGUAGAGAUCUGGAGGAAUACCGAUGGCGAAGGCAGCCAUCUGGCCUAAUACUGACGCUGAGGUACGAAAGCAUGGGGAGCAAACAGGAUUAGAUACCCUGGUAGUCCAUGCCGUAAACGAUGUCUACUAGCCGUUGGGGCCUUUGAGGCUUUAGUGGCGCAGCUAACGCGAUAAGUAGACCGCCUGGGGAGUACGGUCGCAAGNCUAAAACUCAAAUGAAUUGACGGGGUCAUAGCUGUUCUG